rnacentral:misc_RNA from 1 species
GUCGGUCUAUAAGAGUGUCUAUUGCGAUAGACAUAGACAUAGAAAUAGAAUAAUCCAAUAAAACAAUAGAACAAUAGAACCUGUAGACGCUCCCUUUGACAAAGGAUUUUUGAGAAAUAUUUCGAAACACGUUGCCAACACCCAACUGAGACCUUUACGCAAGGAAUUAGCUUUUAGCAUGAUUUGAAUUUAUUUUUCAAGUAAGACUAACAGAGAGUGGAAAAAAUACAUGAAUGCAUUUAAGGCAUACGGUGACUAAGCACUGCACAAUUACCUCAUAUUUUCUUCGCUUUAACUGUUGCACAGCCACACAAGAUUGUUAAAGCAAACUUGAGUUCACCAGUGUGACCUAGCUUUCAAGAUUUGACUCCUUGCGAAUUUGAACCUCCCUCGAACUUUUUUCUUUCGCCUUAAAUAACUCAGAAUCAUUCGCUGUUUCACUCACAGUUACUCCACAGCUAAAUCGAAGAGCUGACACUCAAUUACAGAAAGAAUUUCUCACACGGUGAAUUAUGAGUUCAACUGCAACAACGAACCAUUUACCAACAAGGUUGCCAUUUUCAAAGAAAUUCAUCUAAUUGGUUGCGUUUUUCAGGUUCAGCAUUAUGAGAUGUGCGACGGAGGUUUGAUGUACGGUUCAGAUUGUUAUCUCUUCAUACGUCAGCCACUUCGGAACAUUCUCAGUGUUUUGGAAAGUUCGGCCUCAAAAUCAAUUUAGCUCAUUUCAAUUCUGUGUAGCUCAGCUGGUCUUUGACUAAAACGAUGCUAAACUCGGCGACAAAACGAACUCGAAGCCUGCAAUGACGAAGAGCGGCUUGUUCAACCUUUGUUGGUUGCCUAUGGAAACUUCUCUUUUAUUGGAAACAUUCUUCAAUAUGUUCUUUAUCUCGUGGUUCUCAACCCAACAUGCAUGAUGCCACGGGAUGAUAUAAGGAUGAUGAUUAGUCAUGAUCGAGAUCCGUCGCCAUAGUCCUUUUAAAAGUACAGCGUUGAAAAGUGAGACAUGUUCCAACAUCAAUAAGCUCAAGGACUUUAAACUUAUCGCGUGAUGCAAACAAAUUCUACAAAGGAGCCAAAUUAUACGACGUCCAGUGGCCGGAGGAUACAAUAAGAACAUAGAACACGUCAAAGUUCGAAACCAAAAAACGAAGAAUAAGGAUAGAUCUGCAAACAUUAUUUGAUUUCGUCUGCCAUACAGCUAAAACUUUGCUCGUCAUUUAAGAUAAACCAUAUGGGAUUUAUUAUUUCACUACUAGUUCAUUCUCUAGCAUUUUGACUACAGCUUUCUCUGAGUAUCGUAUCGAUCGCAUAAGGCGUCGGCAAAAGAUGACAAGAACACAAAGGAGACAAUUUAGGUGUUCUUUAUAACAAAAAAAAUAUCCGAUGGACUUAAUAGUUCGUUGCUCAAAAAGACAAGCCUAAAAGACGAAAAAAUAUAAGUUUGGAUCGUUCACUGAGGCUAGUUUGUUGCCCCGCUUUCUGUCUGUGUUUUUGCCCUGCUUCAAACUGUAAUACCGUAGCAUAUUUUGCGCGUCCAGAUGACUUAAUAUGGUAAAAUGGCGUAAAAGUGGAACAACAAAUACAUAUAUAAACUCUGCUGCUAUAAUAAUUCUGAAAGAGCUGGUGAGCAGUAAAAAGUACUUGCCACUCAAAUUUUAACCGAUAGUUGAUAAACAAGAAUGCGUUCUUCAAAAGUUGAUUAGAGCCUUAACAUUGAUCUUUUUAUUUACAGACUCGCUGUGCUUC